CAGCAGAUUGGACUAUCUAGUAGCUACUUUUUGUAGCCAUCUUUGUUGGGACAGCGAAAUGGCUCUAAUCCUUUGCUAUUCGUGGCUUGGAGACCUCCACAUGUUCAACCAACCAUAAAUAUAUGAGAUAAAAUUGCCCUCCUUGCAAUGCCAAAAGCCAGAAAAUUGCCCUCCUCGCAAUGCUAAAAGCCAGAUAAAUUUGGAAGUAUACGGUGAAGGCU
rnacentral:lncRNA from 1 species